GCUCUCUAUUCUGUUUUAUCUAAAUUCUACCUUUUACUCAAAAAAAAAAAAACUCACGCUUCUCAAUUCUCACAGGCAUCAAUCCCUAAUUUGGUAUUUUCUCGGCAUAGCUUGAUCAAUGGCUCAAAUCUCUCUCUCUCCAUAUCAAUGCAAACGCCCUAAUUUGGUAUCUGACGCCUUACCAUAGGAGCCUUCAUGGUAUGCCAGCUCUUCUCUGACGCCCUACCAUAUAUGCGCCUCUCUUCCCCUCCCAAAUCUAGAAUCAUAAGUCGUCGCCGCCAGCUCCGUCUCCUUCAGUCGCUGCCGCCGCCGGCUGUAGCUCACCAGGGAACGCCGCGCAGCUAUUCUUCUUCGCGAAAAAUUUCUCCCUCAAGCUGCUGCUUCUUCUUCUUCUUCAUUUCUCGUCGGCGCUUUUGAUCGUUAAACACACUACGUCAUGUCCGCCGCCGCGAGAACAGUCUUCCGUUCCGCCUCUACAUCCGCUCGCAGUGCCACGGCGAGACUAUCCACCUCCAUUUUCAGGUCUCCUGUAGAGACGAGCAGUUUUAGCGAUGCUUCGAUUUCGCCACACCGCAGUCAAUUCGGAAAUGUAGAUGGAAGAAAUUUCUCAACGAAGACGAGGAGAUUUCGAUUUCAGCGCAGAAUCGAUCUGAAACGAAGCACUUCAGCCACUGGAAUCGUGGAAAGGAUAGAGUACGAUCCUAAUCGAACUUCUCGGAUUGCUCUCAAACAUGUUUGGUUCCGAUCCAGGAUCGCAGCAGAUGAUGUGGUUAGCAACUAAGCACCAAUUGCAUAGUAGUUUCUUCAAGCCAGUUAAAUAUGUCAGGGAAAUGCUUGUAUGUCAAGAAUGAAACCACCGGAGACGAACUCACUUUGUGCGGCUAAGCUCUUCGUGUUCUCAAAUGGGAAACAAAAGUUUCUGGAAGCGCAUUGUUUGGAGCAGUAGUGAUCAGAUGAUUUGGAGCAUCAAAUUUCUGUUAUCAACAGUAAGGCGGUCAAUAGGCAGCUUAAGUCCUUGUACAGUGUCCCACCACCAAAGUAGAAGCAGCCGGCCAAGCGACCGACGACCACGUGAAACUGAGAUUAGCUUUCUUUUUAUUUUCAAGAAUUUGAUCAAACAAGUUUAAAGUUCCUCAAAAUAACUGAGAAAUGAAAAAGUAAUGAAUACUUGUGUUGCAUGAUCCGAUUAUUAUUACACAUUGUUUUCUGGUUAUUUGUGUAAUAAUACUUGAUUCAUUUGACUAUAUUAGUUCAAUUUUCUUUUUGUGGAA